UACGUAGGGCGCAAGCGUUGUCCGGAAUUAUUGGGCGUAAAGGGCUCGUAGGCGGCUUGUCACGUCGGAUGUGAAAGCCCGGGGCUUAACCCCGGGUCUGCAUUCGAUACGGGCUAGCUAGAGUGUGGUAGGGGAGAUCGGAAUUCCUGGUGUAGCGGUGAAAUGCGCAGAUAUCAGGAGGAACACCGGUGGCGAAGGCGGAUCUCUGGGCCAUUACUGACGCUGAGGAGCGAAAGCGUGGGGAGCGAACAGG
rnacentral:rRNA from 1 species